UACGGAGGGUGCAAGCGUUAUUCGGAAUUACUGGGCGUAAAGCGUGCGUAGGCGGUUCGUUAAGUCUGCUGUGAAAUCCCCGAGCUCAACUUGGGAAUUGCAGUGGAUACUGGCAAGCUGGAGUACGGUAGAGGAAGGUGGAAUUCCCGGUGUAGCAGUGAAAUGCGUAGAGAUCGGGAGGAACACCAGUGGCGAAGGCGGCCUUCUGGACCAGUACUGACGCUCAUGCACGAAAGCGUGGGGAGCAAACAGG
rnacentral:rRNA from 1 species